CCUACGGGAGGCAGCAGUGAGGAAUAUUGGUCAAUGGACGAGAGUCUGAACCAGCCAAGUAGCGUGAAGGAUGACUGCCCUAUGGGUUGUAAACUUCUUUUAUAUGGGAAUAAAAUGUUCCACGUGUGGGAUUUUGUAUGUACCAUAUGAAUAAGGAUCGGCUAACUCCGUGCCAGCAGCCGCGGUAAUACGGAGGAUCCGAGCGUUAUCCGGAUUUAUUGGGUUUAACGGGAGCGUAGGUGGAUUGUUAAGUCAGUUGUGAAAGUUUGCGGCUCAACCGUAAAAUUGCAGUUGAAACUGGCAGUCGUGAGUACAGUAGAGGUGGGCGGAAGUCGUGGUGUAGCGGUGAAAUGCUUAGAUAUCACGAAGAACUCCGAUUGCGAAGGCAGCUCACUGGACUGCAACUGACACUGAGGCUCGAAAGUGUGGGUAUCAAACAGGAUUAGAUACCCGUGUAGUC
rnacentral:rRNA from 1 species